rnacentral:rRNA from 1 species
GAUGAACGCUGGCGGCGUGCCUAAUACAUGCAAGUCGAGCGAACAGACGAGGAGCUUGCUCCUCUGACGUUAGCGGCGGACGGGUGAGUAACACGUGGAUAACCUACCUAUAAGACUGGGAUAACUUCGGGAAACCGGAGCUAAUACCGGAUAAUAUAUUGAACCGCAUGGUUCAAUAGUGAAAGACGGUUUUGCUGUCACUUAUAGAUGGAUCCGCGCCGCAUUAGCUAGUUGGUAAGGUAACGGCUUACCAAGGCAACGAUGCGUAGCCGACCUGAGAGGGUGAUCGGCCACACUGGAACUGAGACACGGUCCAGACUCCUACGGGAGGCAGCAGUAGGGAAUCUGCCGCAAUGGGCGAAAGCCUGACGGAGCAACGCCGCGUGAGUGAUGAAGGUCUUCGGAUCGUAAAACUCUGUUAUUAGGGAAGAACAAAUGUGUAAGUAACUAUGCACGUCUUGACGGUAACUAAUCAGAAAGCCACGGCUAACUACGUG